CAUUAACCAUCUGGAAUCACAGAAUAGUCGUAGCCCUCUCACGGCGGCAACAGGGGUUCGAAUCCCCUAUGGGACGCCA
rnacentral:tRNA from 1 species